rnacentral:rRNA from 1 species
UACGUAGGGCGCAAGCGUUGUCCGGAAUUAUUGGGCGUAAAGGGUGCGUAGGCGGUUGUUUAAGUCUGUCGUGAAAUCCCCGGGCUCAACCUGGGAAUGGCGAUGGAAACUGGGCAGCUAGAGUGUGUCAGAGGAUGGUGGAAUUCCCGGUGUAGCGGUGAAAUGCGUAGAGAUCGGGAGGAACAUCAGUGGCGAAGGCGGCCAUCUGGGACAACACUGACGCUGAAGAACGAAAGCGUGGGGAGCAAACAGG